ensembl:lncRNA
UUUUUCUCCAUCCUGAGUUCUCACAGGGUGCACCGUGGUGGGUGGCCGCAGAAGCUGAUGGCCCAGUGGCUGCAACAUGCUUUGUUUUAUUGAUACAGCCGACAACAUUCUUUGAACACUGAGCAGGUAUGGAGGGAGUGUUGCCGAGUGUGGACAGCUCACCUUCAUUGUGAUGCAUACAUCUGAUGUCUACAGGUCUUAGUUGCAGCAUGUGAAAUCUUAGUUGUGGCAUGUGGGAACUAGUUUCCGGAUUGGCGCUCGAACCCUGGGCACGCUGCAUUGGAGCAUGGAUGCAUUGGAGCAUGGAGUCUUAUCCACUGGACCACCAAGGAAGGUCCUGCUUUUCGAAUCUGUGUCUUCUGGGAUACAGUCCUAAAGAAACCCAAAUAAAC